UACGUAGGGUGCAAGCGUUAAUCGGAAUUACUGGGCGUAAAGCGUGCGCAGGCGGCUUUGCAAGUCGGAUGUGAAAUCCCCGGGCUUAACCUGGGAACUGCAUUUGUGACUGCAUGGCUGGAGUGCGGCAGAGGGGGAUGGAAUUCCGCGUGUAGCAGUGAAAUGCGUAGAUAUGCGGAGGAACACCGAUGGCGAAGGCGAGCCCCUGGGCCUGCACUGACGCUCAUGCACGAAAGCGUGGGGAGCAAACAGG
rnacentral:rRNA from 1 species